rnacentral:lncRNA from 1 species
AGCUUCCAAGCUCGAUUGUAAGUCCGUUCUAGCCUCGUUUUUAAUGAUUUUUACGUUUUUGGAGUCCCGGUAACUCGAUUUAGCUUAUGCUAGCAGUAAUUUAACCUAGGGUUUAUAUUUGGAAAAAUACCCAUAGGUGAAAUUUGUGUAUUUUGGUGUUUUAUGAUAGAAUAUGAGGUUUUAAAUUAUGUUAGACAACUUGUGCUACUCGGUUUUAAGUGAAAACGAGCAAAAGGGCUUAAUCGGUAAAAAUACCUAAUAGUCAUAAGUACAUGUUAGAGUGAGAAUUUGAUGUUUCCAUAGAAGGGAAAAAUGAUCAGCAUGUCAUAAAACAUAAGAAAAUAGGUUGAAGUUUAAUUUACGAGCUUUGGGGCAAAAGUGUAAAUAUGCAAAAUUUUAGGGGCAAAAUUACAAUUUUUCCAAAAUAUGAUUUGGGGUCAAUUUGAAUAAUUUGAGUCCUAAUUAGACUAUAUUUUAAAUGAUAGAGCAAGGAAAACUGAAAUUCGGGCUAAAAUGGGGAAAAUACUAAGUUGUGGACGAAAUGGUAAAAGUAGUCAUUUUCGCAUACGAGGUAAGUUCAUGUGUAAAUGUAGUAACAUAAUUGUUGUUUUAAGGAAUUUAAUGUUGUUUAUAUGAUAUGAUGCUUAUUAUUAUCAUGAAAUGUUAUGUUUUGUGUCAUUGUUGAAUAAUAUGUAAUUAUGUGAAUUACUUGAUGAGUAUGAACUAUCACCGAGUAUCGGUUCCGAUAUUCCGUGGAAGACGACAAAGAUGUGAGAUCAAGGAAAAAAGCCCGUUUGAACCUUAGGAAUAGAUUAGGAUACAAGUGACAUGUCACUAGGAUAUUUGGGCAUCCGAACUCGUUGAGUUGAGUCCGAGUUCACUUAUGGAUGCGAAUGUCUGAACUCGUUGAGUUGAGUCCGAGUUCGAGAGAUGUAACUAGGCAUCCGAACUUGUUGAGUUGAGUCUGAGUUCACCUAUGGAUGCGAACGCCAGAGCUCGUUGAGUUGAGUCCGAGUUCGCUUAUGGGCGGGUUACAUGGUAGCUUAGCUACAUAUGUGGCACUUAUGUGCAAACUUUCCAUGUAUCCGAAUUAUAUUCCGAUGUGUUCAACGGGUAAAGUUCUACUGAAAUGGAGGAAUACUCAAGAUGAAAGGGACGUAUUGGUAAGUGUUGUGAAAUGGGUACUUUGAACAGGUAUGUAUUUAACCCUCGGGUUGAAAAAUCGAUAUAACAACAAUAUGGUAAGAUGAUAAAUGAAAAUGUGAUAUGAAUGUCUUGGUGAUGAUUAUGCAAAUGAUGUUUUAUGUUUGCUUAUAUGGUUAUGUUACUUGCUAUUUGCAUGUGAACUUAUUAAGCAUUUAUGCUUACUCCCUCCUUUUCAUUCCUUGUAGUUUUGACAAGCCAGCUCGGAAAUCGGGAACGGUCGGAGGCUCGCUCACACUAUCCGUAUACCAUCUUGGCAUAAUGGCUUGUAUAUUUUGAGUAUGGCAUGUAUAGCAUUAUAAUCAUUUUGUAUAUAUGGUCUUAUGAUAUGGUUAUUGAGUGGUAUGGAAAUGCUUGGUAAUGAUUAGCCAUUGGAAUGGCUAAUCAUGAUCAUAUUUGGUGUUAUGUAUGUCAAAUUGCUAGCUAAUCCAUGGAAAUCAUGAAAUAGGUAAAAUUUACCAUAAAAUAAAUUCAGACAGCAGUAGUGACGUGAAUUUAAAAAAUCACUAAAAAUAGUAGAAAUAGAAUUAAAUAAUGAAUAAGUUAUGGAAUCGAAGCUUGAUGAGUCUAUUUUCAUAUGGAAGAAGCGAAACAGGUAUAUGAGCUAUAUUUUAUGAGAUGUUUAAAUUUUUGUGAAACAGGGCCAGAGCGAUUUCUGGAUCCCCUGUUCUGACUUUGGAAAUUCACCAUAAAUUUUACAAAGAUAAUUAGAAGUCAUGCUUUAUAUGUACAGAUUCCUUAUUGAGUCUAGUUUUAUUAGAGACAAAUAGCAUAGUCAUUGAAGCUCUGUACAGGGAGAUAUCUGAUUCGUAAUAGACAGAGGUCAGAGUAGUCGAACCCUGAAACAGGGGAGACUUUAACUAAUAAACUGUACUAAUUGGCCUGACCAAAAAUUCUAAAAAACAAUUAGUAGAUAGAUAUAUGAGUCUAGUUUCAGGAAAAAUUUACAGAAUUGAAUUUCGAGUUUCGAAACUCGAGAUAUGAUUUUUAAAGCGACUGUGAUGCAGUUAGCCAGCUUGUUUGGAAAUUUUAAAAUGAAUUGUAUGAGCUGUUUAAGUAAUGAAUUAAGUCCGUUAACACCUCGUAUUCGACUCCGGAAACGGUCUCGGGUACGGGGCGUUACAAAUUUGAUGUCCAUGCUGCAUUCGGAAAAUCUUGACAUGAAGCAAACAUAUAAUUGCUCAAAUUCUUUUGUUUUUUCAUGUGUAAUUUAGAUACGGACUUUAAUUGGUUAAAUUUUAAACCAUAUUAAAAGUUUAGGGUCGAGUCAUUUGAUAUGUUUACAUUGAUUUUUCCUUCAAAAUCGAAGGAUUCCCUUUCGUCAAAACGAGGGAACCAUUGAUAAGCUAAUGCGCACCUAAUCUAACUGGCGUUCAGAUGUGCCGGAAAAAUUAGCAGUAAGUUGGUUCUCAAAUGUAAAGGGCGCUAUGGUGCACCCUUUGAAGGAGCUUGGAGGGAAGAAACAGACCACCUCUUGAAUGGUGACCCCUUGCUGUUUCAUGAGCAACUGGUUGUCAUGUUAUCUCAUACUGAUUUCAAGCAAUGGUCAUAUUAGAGGUUCAGUCAUAUGUUCCUCAGUGAAUCAAACCUUGCAUGGGGAGUUGCUCAGAUCUGCAUAAUGCUCGAGGUGCUGC